ACGCUCGACACCUACGAGAGGCAGCAGUGAGGAAUAUUGGUCAAUGGGCGCAGGCCUGAACCAGCCAAGUAGCGUGAAGGAUGACUGCCCUAUGGGUUGUAAACUUCUUUUAUAUGGGAAUAAAGUUUUCCACGUGUGGAAUUUUGUAUGUACCAUAUGAAUAAGGAUCGGCUAACUCCGUGCCGGCAGCCGCGGUAAUCUGAGCGGGCUGGCAAGGC
rnacentral:rRNA from 1 species